GACGGAGGAUGCAAGUGUUAUCCGGAAUCACUGGGCGUAAAGCGUCUGUAGGUGGUCAAAUAAGUCAACUGUUAAAUCUUGAGGCUCAACCUCAAAAUCGCAGUCGAAACUAUUAGACUAGAGUAUAGUAGGGGUAAAGGGAAUUUCCAGUGGAGCGGUGAAAUGCGUAGAGAUUGGAAAGAACACCGAUGGCGAAGGCACUUUACUGGGCUAUUACUAACACUCAGAGACGAAAGCUAGGGUAG
rnacentral:rRNA from 1 species